rnacentral:lncRNA from 1 species
UGGGCUUGGGCUGGUGACGCGUGCGCCGGCCGGCCGCCGAGGGGCUACCGUUCUGCCUCCGACCGGUCGUGUGUGGGUUUACUCGGAGGUGCUUUGCCUCUGAAGAAAAGAGAGAAAGCCUUCUCUAGCGAUCCAAGAUAGUGCAGAAACAGAAAGUCAAGCAAAAACUCAAACUAUGUAACUUUAAAUUGGAUAUGUGCUAAUGAAGGAAAAUGUGGCACUGUAAGAAAAAAUAAUAGGGAGUUAAAGGAUAAAUAGGAGUUUGCUGGAUGAAAUUUAUGAAGAGCUGAAGAUUUCAAACAAAAGAAACUGAUGCAGGAGGGUGCAGCUUUGGAGUCAAGAAUGAAGUUCUAGGAGAUAGAGAGCAAAGAAAUGGUGGGAGAGGAGGUCAAGAAAUACUAGGCUUUAGAAUUUCACCAUAUGAAUUUUGGGAGAGAGGAGCACAGUUCAGCCCAUAACUAACACACGUGAUGAAGAAGACAUGCCAACAGAGGGUUAAUUCCAGAUAAAAUGAAAUGUUCCAAACGACGGAAUGAAGUUGAUAAUAGUGAGACCUUGUUGGUACAAGACUAUGUAACAUAACCUGCGCUUCUCAACAAAGAAUUGCUUUUCUGACUUCUGCACUCGAUAGCAAGACAAAUCUCUCCUCUGCCUUCUCCUUAUCAGACUACUCAACAUGAAGGCAAUAAGAAUGAAGACCUCUAUGUAUAAUAAUUGACUUCCACUUAAUAAAUGAGGUUACUUGGUACACUGGUCGACAAAACCUUGAAAUGUUGAUGUUUAAGGGCUGUUGAUUGCUGGCAGCAAAGAAGUCCAACUGUGCUGGUACCCGAGAUAGCGUCUCCACAUUUUCUUCCAGGAUCAUCACCUUUGUUCUAAAUAGCUCCCACAUAGUGUGAACAGAAGUCAUAUGUUUUAGAUUUUCUGCCUUGGCACCCAGGAAACCAGUAUGAUUGAGUAAACAUAUUAAACUUCCUCUGCAUUUCCAGCCUGAACAGAUGUUGAGUACAAGCUGAUCCACCUACGUUCAACCUGAGAGAGUCCACAUCCACAGACUGUUUCAUUUCCCUUUUUCAAUUUACAUAGAAGCAUAGAUUCUUGCUGGCAUAUACAAAUGCGCCAUUUAAGGCAAUCAAAAAUGGUUCCACAUCUCAUCUGAUUUCCACAAUUGUUGCUGUAACGAUGGACUACUGAGGAGAGAGACAAUUUCUCUGGCACAUCUUCCCACAUUUUAGCAACAUGUUCAUGGAGAGCCAAUAUUCAGUAAUUACAGCCCAAUUCCUCACAAUUUCACAAUUCGCUAACAAUAUGCAUUUUCACAAUGUAAAGCUGAUUUUCCUUUAACCAAAUCAAACAUGAAAAGAUAGCUGCAUGCAAUGGGCAAUCUAGAUCAUUAGAAGAUUGAUGUAAAAUUAGAGGACACUGAGACUGGAAUAGAUUGCAAACUUCAGGGAGCUCAGAAAACUUGUAAACUCUACAUUUUGAGGAAAUAUGUUGUCGAUGCUUUUGCAACUCUAUGCAGUAACUUAACAAAUAAAGCCUUAAAGUAACUU